UACAGAGGGGGCAAGCGUUGUUCGGAAUUACUGGGCGUAAAGGGCGCGUAGGCGGCGUGUCAAGUCAAUUGUGAAAUCUCCGAGCUUAACUCGGAACUGCCAAUUGAUACUGAUGUGCUAGAGUGCAGAAAGGGCAAUCGGAAUUCUUGGUGUAGCGGUGAAAUGCGUAGAUAUCAAGAGGAACACCUGAGGCGAAGGCGGGUUGCUAGGCUGACACUGACGCUGAGGCGCGAAAGCUAGGGUAGCAAACGGG
rnacentral:rRNA from 1 species